rnacentral:rRNA from 1 species
GUUUGAUCCUGGCUCAGGACGAACGCUGGCGGCGUGCUUAACACAUGCAAGUCAAGGGGGUCGUGGGGGCAACUCUGCGGCAACCGGCGAACGGGUGCGUAACACGUGAGCGACCUACCGCGGUGUGGGGGAUAGCCGGCCCAACGGCCGGGUAAUACCGCAUACGUUCCUUUGGGGGCAUCCCUGGGGGAGGAAACCUGCCGGGUAAGACCGGUGGGGCAGCGCGCGGGGCUCGCGGCCUAUCAGCUAGUUGGCGGGGUAACGGCCCACCAAGGCGAUGACGGGUAGCUGGUCUGAGAGGAUGGCCAGCCACAUUGGGACUGAGAGACGGCCCAGACUCCUACGGGAGGCAGCAGUGGGGAAUCUUGCGCAAUGGCCGAAAGGCUGACGCAGCGACGCCGCGUGGAGGAUGACGCCCUUCGGGGUGUAAACUCCUGUUGCCCGGGACGAAUGCCCUUUUUGGAGGGAGUGACGGUACCGGGUGAGGAAGCACCGGCUAACUCUGUGCCAGCAGCCGCGGUAAUACAGAGGGUGCGAGCGUUGUCCGGAAUCACUGGGCGUAAAGGGCGCGUAGGUGGUUGGAUAAGCGUGUGGUGAAAGCCCGGGGCUCAACCCCGGGUCGGCCAUGCGAACUGUCCGACUGGAGCACGGUAGAGGCCAAUGGAAUUCCGGGUGUAGCGGUGGAAUGCGUAGAGGUCCGGAAGAACACCGGUGGCGAAGGCGGUUGGCUGGGCCGUGGCUGACACUGA